GAUGAACGCUGGCGGCGUGCUUAACACAUGCAAGUCGAACGAUGAAGCCCAGCUUGCUGGGUGGAUUAGUGGCGAACGGGUGAGUAACACGUGAGUAACCUGCCCUUGACUCUAGGAUAAGCCCGGGAAACUGGGUCUAAUACUGGAUAGGAACGUCUACCGCAUGGUGGGUGUUGGAAAGAAUUUCGGUCAUGGAUGGACUCGCGGCCUAUCAGCUUGUUGGUGAGGUAAUGGCUCACCAAGGCGACGACGGGUAGCCGGCCUGAGAGGGUGACCGGCCACACUGGGACUGAGACACGGCCCAGACUCCUACGGGAGGCAGCAGUGGGGAAUAUUGCACAAUGGGCGAAAGCCUGAUGCAGCGACGCCGCGUGAGGGAUGACGGCCUUCGGGUUGUAAACCUCUUUCAGUAGGGAAGAAGCGAAAGUGACGGUACCUGCAGAAGAAGCACCGGCUAACCACGUG
rnacentral:rRNA from 1 species